rnacentral:tRNA from 1 species
UCUGGGAGUGUAGCUCAGUGGUAGAGCAUUUGCCUAGCAUGCACAAGGUCCUGGGUUCAAUCUCCAGCACCAAAA